rnacentral:rRNA from 1 species
UACGGGGGGGGCAAGCGUUGUUCGGAAUUACUGGGCGUAAAGGGCGCGUAGGCGGUUCGCUAAGUUGAAUGUGAAAACUCUGGGCUUAACCCAGAGCCUGCAUUCAAUACUGGCGGGCUAGAGUUCUGGAGGGGAUAGCGGAAUUCCUGGUGUAGCGGUGAAAUGCGUAGAUAUCAGGAGGAACACCGGUGGCGAAGGCGGCUAUCUGGACAGAGUCUGACGCUGAUGCGCGAAAGCGUGGGGAGCAAACAGG